GUACAUAAAUACUAAUAUUUGUUUGCUUCAUUUUUCAGUUUAAUGAAGAAAACGUUCGCAGAGUUUUCCCACUAAAGAGGAGCAGUUUAUUGAGGCAGAUUUUGAUAAAGAGAAUGGGUGCCAUACAUCAGACCUCACAUUAAAUCAGGGAUGAAUCGAGAGAUGUCGUCCUCUGUUGCUGGUUUAUCUGUAUGAAUAAGAGGAAGAGCUCAUUCAGGAGUGCAAUUGUGGGAAUGCACAGAGAAUUGCUGUCUGUCAGAGGGAUGACCAACCAUGAGGACUUCUGCAUUGUCUUGGAGGAUAAGUGAGUCAUGGCUAGCCUGGAAAAUCUAGAAUUGCUGAACUGGAUUUAUACAAAUA